rnacentral:piRNA from 1 species
GACAGACACACGAUGCCUCUCCCUGC